rnacentral:lncRNA from 1 species
UAAAAAAUCAAUAAAAAAUUAAAAAAAUAAAUAUGAGAAACAAUUUAGCAAGUGCAAGUGCUGAGAAACUACUGAGAAUCAUAAAAACAGAUCAAGUUUUAUAGGCUUAGGCAAGCCUCUAGCUCAAACAGCAAAAACUCAAAGAAAAAUGGCAGAAAAAGAAUAAAAAUUCCAAAAAUUUCAAAGUACAACAGAUAUAUAUGUUCAUCAAUUAUCAAUCAAUCUCAUCAAUCACACAAAAAAAAAA